rnacentral:rRNA from 1 species
CCUCUGACGGUACCUGAGGAAUCAGCCUCGGCUAACUCCGUGCCAGCAGCCGCGGUAAUACGGAGGAGGCAAGCGUUAUCCGGAAUUAUUGGGCGUAAAGCGUCCGCAGGUGGCGAUUCAAGUCUGCUGUCAAAGCACGGGGCUUAACUCCGUUAAGGCAGUGGAAACUGAAUAGCUAGAGUGCCGUAGGGGUAGAGGGAAUUCCCGGUGUAGCGGUGAAAUGCGUAGAGAUCGGGAAGAACAUCGGUGGCGAAAGCGCUCUACUGGACGGCAACUGACACUCAGGGACGAAAGCUAGGGGAGCGAAUGGGAUUAGAUACCCCAGUAGUCCUAGCUGUAAACGAUGGAUACUAGGUGUAGCUUGUAUCGACCCGAGCUGUGCCGAAGCUAACGCGUUAAGUAUCCCGCCUGGGGAGUACGCACGCAAGUGUGAAACUCAAAGGAAUUGACGGGGGCCGCACAGCGGUGGAGUAUGUGGCUCAAUCGAUGCAACGCGAAGAACCUUACCAGGGCUUGACAUGUCCGGAAUCCCAGUGAAAGCUGGGAGUGCCUUC